GACGAACGCUGGCGGCGUGCCUAAUACAUGCAAGUAGAACGAGUUGCGAACGGGUGAGUAACGCGUGGUAACCUGCCUCAUAGCGGGGGAAAACUACUGGAAACGGUAGCUAAUACCGCAUACCCUCAGAUGUGCCCAGAUGGGAUGAGCUGGUAGGUUGGGUAACGGAUCAACAAGGCGACGAUCCCUAGCAGGUCUGAGAGGAUGACAAGCCACACUGGAACUGAGAAACGGUCCAGACUCCUACGGUAGGCAGCAGUGGGGAAUAUUGCACAAUGGGCGCAAUCCUGAUGCAGCCAUGCCGGGUGUAGGAAGAAGGCCUGCGGGUUGUAAAGUACUUUCAGCGGGGAGGCGUUACCCGCAGAAUAAGCACCGGCUAACUCCGUGCCAGCCGCCGCGGUAAUAC
rnacentral:rRNA from 1 species